UAAGACGAACCGUGCGAACGUUGUUCGGAAUCACUGGGCUUAAAGGGCGCGUAGGCGGGCUGCCAAGUCCGGGGUGAAAGCUUUCGGCUUAACCGGAAAAGUGCCUUGGAUACUGGCAGUCUCGAGCGAGGUAGGGGCAUGUGGAACUUCCGGUGGAGCGGUGAAAUGCGUUGAUAUCGGAAGGAACGCCGGUGGCGAAAGCGACGUGCUGGACCUCUUCUGACGCUGAGGCGCGAAAGCCAGGGGAGCGAACGGGAUUAGAUACCCCGGUAGUCCUGGCCCUAAACGAUGGGUACUAGGUAGUAGACUUGACAUGGGUUUACUGCCGAAGCAAAAGUGGUAAGUACCCCGCCUGGGGAGUAUGGUCGCAAGGCUG
rnacentral:rRNA from 1 species